UAUCUUCCGUGGGCGCUGCAAGAUUGAGAGAGCCUGCUCCUAGUACGAGAGGACCGGAGUGGACGCACCUCUGGUGUAUCGGUUGUCACGCCAGUGGCAUCGCCGAGUAGCUAAGUGCGGAAGAGAUAACCGCUGAAAGCAUCUAAGCGGGAAACUCGUCUCAAGAUGAGUCUUGCCGGGGCCUUGAGCCCCCUGAAGAGUCGUUCGAGACCAGGACGUUGAUAGGCUGGGUGUGGAAGCGCAGUAAUGCGUUAAGCUAACCAGUACUAAUUGCUCGUGAGGCUUGACCCUAUAA
rnacentral:rRNA from 1 species